ACGCCGGCGACGAAGACGAGGGCGAGGCCGCCGGCGAUCGCCGCCGUGUUCUCCGACCCGUCCGCCGCCGCGCCCGCCGCCCCCGAGCUGAUGGCGCUCUCCGCCACGUACACCGUCGGCUUCGCCCACAACCAAUUCAGAUGGACUUACAAAUUGUUGCAAUUUGGACCUGAUUGAUGCAUGAGCCACUUGAUGAGCUCUUCUCCAUGUCCUCAAACUGAAACAUGGUUGCACGAAGGAAGGAUGGAGCUAGGCUUGCUCAUCGUCAACCAUAAACCGUCGAGAUGGCCGCCUCAAAUCGACGCAAGCGCAGAUCCGCUCAAGCUUAGGGGCUAUGUGGUGCAGGAGCAAUUUGACGAGAUGCGAACAAUGCGACGGAGGGUGGCACUUCAAAGUGCUCUGUUAGUUAUUGCAUGUUUGAGCUUUCACAUCAGCCUAGCGAGCUCAAGGAGAGAGAGAGCGCAAGGGAAGAGAGGGAAAGAUGGAGAAGAAGCAAAGUGUCCCAAAGUGAAACUAUAUGUAAUCUUUCCCGGUUCAAACUAAAAAUGUUGUGCUGCUCCUAUUCCAACUUGCCACAUGGGUAAAAAGAAGUGGCCCUAUAUGCAAUUUACUCUUUUAAGUUGCUUGA